rnacentral:rRNA from 1 species
UACGUAGGGGACGAGCGUUGUCCGGAAUUACUGGGCGUAAAGGGCGCGCAGGCUGUUAUGCGAGUCUGCUGGAAAUGUACCGGCUCAACCGGUGCCUUGCGGCGGAUACUGCAUAGCUGGAGUACUGGAGAGGAGAGCGGAAUUCUUGGUGUAGCGGUGAAAUGCGUAGAUAUCAAGAGGAACACCGGUGGCGAAGGCGGCUCUCUGGACAGAUACUGACGCUGAGGCUCUAAAGUUAGGGGAGCAAACAGGA